AGAGUUUGAUCAUGGCUCAGAACAAACGCUGGCGGCGUGCCUAAUACAUGCAAGUCGAACGAGGAAGUACCUUUCGGGUAUUGUACUAGUGGCGUACGGGUGAGUAACGCGUGGAUAAUCUUCCUUAAAGUGGGGAAUAACUAGUCGAAAGAUUAGCUAAUACCGCAUAAGACCACAGGGACUUCGGUUCAAGGGGUUAAAGGCUUCGGCCGCUUUAAGAUGAGUCUGCGCCCGAUUAGCUAGUUGGUGAGGUAACGGCUCACCAAGGCGACGAUCGGUAGCUGGUCUGAGAGGACGGCCAGCCACACUGGGACUGAGACACGGCCCAGACUCCUACGGGAGGCAGCAGUAGGGAAUAUUGCACAAUGGAGGAAACUCUGAUGCAGCGACGCCGCGUGAGUGACGAAGGCCUUCGGGUUGUAAAGCUCUGUUCUCAGGGAAAAAGAUAGUGAUUGUACCUGAGGAGAAAGGACCGGCUAACUUCGUGCCAGCAGCCGCGGUAAGACGAGGGGUCCAAGCGUUGUUCGGAAUUAUUGGGCGUAAAGCGGGUGUAGGUGGCUCUAUAAGUCAGGAGUGAAAGCCCCGAGCUUAACUUGGGAAGUGCUUUUGAUACUGCAGAGCUUGAGUGUGGGAGAGGAUCGUGGAAUUCCAAGUGUAGUGGUGAAAUACGUAGAUAUCUGGAGGAACACCGGUGGCGAAGGCGGCGAUCUGGCCCAACACUGACACUGAGACCCGAAAGCGUGGGGAUCAAACAGGAUUAGAUACCCUGGUAGUCCACGCCGUAAACGAUGGAUACUUGUUGUUGGAGGUAUUGACCCCUUCAGUGACGAAGCUAACGCGUUAAGUAUCCCGCCUGGGGAGUACGGCCGCAAGGUUAAAACUCAAAGGAAUUGACGG
rnacentral:rRNA from 1 species